rnacentral:rRNA from 1 species
UAGUAACUGCGAGUGAAGCGGGAAAAGCUCAAAUUUUGAAUCUGGCGGUCCUCGUGGUCGUCCGAGUUGUAAUCUAGAGAAGCGUUUUCCGCGCUGGACCGUGUACAAGUCUCCUGGAACGGAGCGUCAUAGAGGGUGAGAAUCCCGUCUCUGACACGGACUACCAGGGCUUUUGUGAUGCGCUCUCGACGAGUCGAGUUGUUUGGGAAUGCAGCUCAAAAUGGGUGGUAAAUUCCAUCUAAAGCUAAAUACAGGCGAGAGACCGAUAGCGAACAAGUACCGUGAGGGAAAGAUGAAAAGAACUUUGGAAAGAGAGUUAAACAGUACGUGAAAUUGCUGAAAGGGAAACGCUUGAAGUCAGUCGCGUUGGCCGGGGAUCAGCCUUGCAAUCUUUGUGGGGUGCACUUCCUGGUCGACGGGUCAGCAUCAGUUUCGAUCGUCGGACAAAGGUCAGGGGAAUGUGGCACCUUUCGGGGUGUGUUAUAGCCCUUGGUCGCAUACGGCGGUUGGGAUUGAGGAACUCAGCACGACCCCUUUGUUGGGUUCGGGGCUUCGGCUCACGACCGUGCUUAGGAUGCUGGCAUAAUGGCUUUAAGCGACCCGUCUUGAAACACGGACCAAGGAGUCUAACAUGCCCGCGAGUGUUUGGGCGUUUAAAACCUGAGCGCGUAAUGAAAGUGAAAGUUGAGACCUCUGUCGUGGAGGGCAUCGACGCCCGGACCGGACCUUUUGCGAUGGCCCUGCGGUAGAGCGUGCAUGUUGGGACCCGAAAGAUGGUGAACUAUGCCUGAAUAGGGUGAAGCCAGAGGAAACUCUGG